UUAGAGUUUGAUCCUGGCUCAGAAUGAACGCUGGCGGCAUGGAUUAGGCAUGCAAGUCGUACGAGAAUCCUCUCUUCGGAGAGGAGGACAGUGGCGAAAGGGUGAGUAACACGUGAGUAUCUACCUCCAGGUCGGGAACAGCCCGCGGAAACGCGGAUUAAUGCCCGAUGGUCCCUUUGGGGUAAAGAGGAAUCGCCCGGAGACGAGCUCGCGGCCCAUCAGCUUGUUGGCGGGGUAACGGCCCACCAAGGCGACGACGGGUAGGUGGUCUGAGAGGAUGGUCACCCACACUGGGACUGAGAUACUGCCCAGACUCCUACGGGAGGCUGCAGUCGAGAAUCAUCCGCAAUGGGCGAAAGCCUGACGGUGCAAUGCCGCGUGGGGGAUGAAGGCCUUCGGGUCGUAAACCCCUGUCAGAGGGGACGAAAAACAUGACGGUACCCUCAGAGGAAGCCACGGCUAACUACGUGCCAGCAGCCGCGGUAAUACGUAGGUGGCGAGCGUUAUUCGGAUUUACUGGGCGUAAAGGGUCCGCAGGGGGUUUGCCGAGUCCGAUGUGAAAGUCCGCAGCUCAACUGCGGAACUGCGUCGGAUACUGGUGAACUUGAGUGCGCGAAGGGCGAGCGGAAUUCCAGGUGUAGCGGUGGAAUGCGUAGAUAUCUGGAAGAACACCGGCGGCGAAAGCGGCUCGCUGGCGCGCCACUGACCCUUAUGGACGAAAGCGUGGGGAGCGAACAGGAUUAGAUACCCUGGUAGUCCGCGCUGUAAACGGUGCAGACUCGAUGCGGGGGGCGGUCCCCUCCGUGUCUAAGCCAACGCGUUAAGUCUGCCGCCUGGGGACUAC
rnacentral:rRNA from 1 species